rnacentral:lncRNA from 1 species
GAUGGUGCACAAGAAGGCUCUCGCCAGAUGCUGGUCUUGUGAUCUUGGACUUCCCAGCCUCCAGAACUGUUCUACUUGAAUCAUAGUUUCUUUGCUCCUGGGAGACUCCUGCUAUUCCCAGUGAUGCUGCGAACUGGGGUUCAAAGUGGGGUGGUCUGGUGAGGCCUAAAAUCCAUGUCCCAUGGAGAACUGGCUGCAUCCCUUACAGAACCUGCCACAUAUUUCUGCAGCUUCCAAGAGGAAGGCUGGAAUUUACUGAGCUUACUGAAGCCAAUUAUCCAAAGAGGAUGUGAUCCAGAAGCAAGAUAAAGAUCAAAAGGACUCAGCUGGGAUUUGGCCUUCUCCAAGUGGAAGGAAUAAAAUCUGCAAUUGGCUCCGAAAAUAAAAACCAAACAAAAUCUCAGGCAA